AACAAUCUCGCCUCUAACAUAGGGAUAGCCCGAAGAAAUUUGGAUUAAUACCUAAUGGUAUAUAGAUGUGGCAUCACAUUUAUAUUAAAGCUGAGGCGGUGAAAGAUGAGUAUGCGUUCUAUUAGCUAGUUGGAGAGGUAACGGCUCCCCAAGGCUACGAUAGAUAGGGGUUCUGAGAGGGAUAUCCCCCACACUGGUACUGAGAUACGGACCAG
rnacentral:rRNA from 1 species